GGUCUCGUGGUGUAGUGGUUAUCACGUCUGCCUGUCACGCAGAAGAUCGCGAGUUCGAACCUC
rnacentral:tRNA from 1 species